AUGGAUGGUCAUAGUGCUAGCUUGGAGGAGAUAGAAGAAUAUCACAUGAUGGUUAGUCAGAUGUUUGCAAGCGAGAAGCAAGGUUACGAGCACUACAACAGAUAUGCAAGAGCAAAAGGUUUUAGUGUCAGAUUGGAUGACAAGGAGUACGUGAAGGGCACCAGAGAGGUGAAAGCAAGACGUUUCUGCUGCUCUAAAGAAGGGCACCGAUUGGAGAAGUACUUUCAAGCGACUGACCAAAAAAGGGAGCCACGGGCGCUGACCCGUUGUGGUUGCAAAGCUAUGCUUGAGAUCCAACAUGAUGCAGGCAGGGGUCAGUGGUUUGUUAAGAAGUUUGUUGAUGUCCAUAACCACCCGCUAGCCGACCCGGACCAAUCUGCUUUUCUACGGUCUCACCGUCGGAUGAACGAUGCUCACAAGGCUGAUGCAGUGGAAUACGGACUUGGUGGUCUCCGUACGUUCCAAAUCAUGAAUGUGGCAGAGAAACAAAACGGCUAUCCUCAUGUUGGGUAUAUUUCCCGAGACCUCUACAAUUUCUUCGCUAGGUACAAGAAAAAAAGAAUCUUAGGCAGGGAUGCUGACUUUGUGCUGAACCAUAUGAGAGUACAGGAAGAACGAGAUGCUGAGUUUUUCUUCAAAUACACCACAGAUGAUGAAGGACAUCUUCGAAAUUUAUUCUGGGCAGAUUCACAGUCUCAGAUUGAUUAUGAAGCAUUCGGCGAUGUAGUUGUGUUUGACAACACUUAUCGGGUCAACCGCUACAAUCUCCCUUUUGUUGCAUUUGUUGGACUGAACCAUCAUCGUAGUACUGUUGUUUUUGGGAUUGGUGUUGUUUCAGAUGAGACCCACAAGUCAUACGAGUGGCUACUUCAGACCUUUGUAGAGGCGAUGGGUCAUAAGGAGCCCAUAUCUGUUAUCACAGAUGGAGACUCGGCAAUGAGAAAAGCAAUUAGGAAGAUUUUGCCAAGGACGGACCAUCGGCUAUGCAGUUGGCACAUUGAGCAGACAUGA
rnacentral:rRNA from 1 species